GGCUGGUCUAGGUGAAGUGGUGUUACAGUAACUGAUCACCACUAGUUACAGAUUUCUUUGUUCCUUUUCCACUCCCACUGCUUCACGUGACUGGCCAAAA
rnacentral:Y_RNA from 1 species